CAGGGAGACAAUCAAAGAUUGUGAUGUCUGGCUAAUUUAUUGCUAGACCACGGUCCUGUCAUCUCGAUGGUUAAUCGGUACCUCAAGCGACGGAGACAAAGCCUGAAGUUUUUCUAGCGAUAGAAGAACUGAUGUGUUGUUGUCGAAGUCUUUUCAGUUCCUAAACUUUGUCUAGGUCACCCCCGCAAGGGAAUCCCUGGGCCAUUAGCUCAGGUGGUUAGAGCGCACCCCUGAUAAGGGUGAGGUCCCUGGUUCAAGUCCAGGAUGGCCCAUUCGUGUUCGGGGGUUUAGCUCAGUUGGUAGAGCGCCUGCUUUGCAAGCAGGAUGUCAGCGGUUCGAGUCCGCUAACCUCCACUGACCAAGCCUCCACGUUCGCGAGAACAAGGGGACAGAGCUUGUGGUGGUGAAUUUAGACGAUUGUACUGAAGAAGGACUCUAACUUCCUUUCACUGUAUGACGAGCGACGAUCUUGAUACGCAUCAAGAGAGAGUGUUGGUUGUAUUCGAAAAGACGCUGGACUCCAACAUGGUCAGCUGCGAGGCUGACCGUUGUGAUGUUCAGUAGAACCUUGACAACUGCAUAGGUAAGUCUGUAAAUAAAGCAUCUCAUGGAUGCUCUAAAGACAGCAAAUGAUUCCAGUAGCUUAGGCUAUCGAGGUCAUGGCUUGUUUUUGGGGCGAUUCUAGAGUAGGAGCCGAGACUCCACAUUGUUCCUGGUUCUUGCCGAAAGAACUGGGUUUGAUCUUGUUUUUAAUUUUAAAAGCCGGAGAAUCUGCGUACAACCGCAGCAAUGUGAUGUGGAGAUAAAUU
rnacentral:tRNA from 1 species